rnacentral:rRNA from 1 species
GUUGGGUAGGGGAGCGUUCUGUAAGCCUGCGAAGGUGGCCUGUGAGGGUUGCUGGAGGUAUCAGAAGUGCGAAUGCUGACAUAAGUAACGAUAAAGCGGGUGAAAAGCCCGCUCGCCGGAAGACCAAGGGUUCCUGUCCAACGUUAAUCGGGGCAGGGUGAGUCGACCCCUAAGGCGAGGCCGAAAGGCGUAGUCGAUGGGAAACGGGUUAAUAUUCCCGUACUUGGUGUUACUGCGAAGGGGGGACGGAGAAGGCUAUGUUGGCCGGGCGACGGUUGUCCCGGUUUAAGCGUGUAGGUGUGUGUUCCAGGUAAAUCCGGUUCACUUUAACACUGAGGCGUGACGACGAGGCACUACGGUGCUGAAGCAACAAAUGCCCUGCUUCCAGGAAAAGCCUCUAAGCAUCAGGUAACAUCAAAUCGUACCCCAAACCGACACAGGUGGUCAGGUAGAGAAUACCAAGGCGCUUGAGAGAACUCGGGUGAAGGAACUAGGCAAAAUGGUGCCGUAACUUCGGGAGAAGGCACGCUGACACGUAGGUGAAGUGAUUUACUCAUGGAGCUGAAGUCAGUCGAAGAUACCAGCUGGCUGCAACUGUUUAUUAAAAACACAGCACUGUGCAAACACGAAAGUGGACGUAUACGGUGUGACGCCUGCCCGGUGCCGGAAGGUUAAUUGAUGGGGUCAGCGCAAGCGAAGCUCCUGAUCGAAGCCCCGGUAAACGGCGGCCGUAACUAUAACGGUCCUAAGGUAGCGAAAUUCCUUGUCGGGUAAGUUCCGACCUGCACGAAUGGCGUAAUGAUGGCCAGGCUGUCUCCACCCGAGACUCAGUGAAAUUGAACUCGCUGUGAAGAUGCAGUGUACCCGCGGCAAGACGGAAAGACCCCGUGAACCUUUACUAUAGCUUGACACUGAACAUUGAGCCUUGAUGUGUAGGAUAGGUGGGAGGCUUUGAAGUGUGGACGCCAGUCUGCAUGGAGCCGACCUUGAAAUACCACCCUUUAAUGUUUGAUGUUCUAACGUGGACCCGU